AUUGCCUGCCCAGUGACUAUAGUUUAACGGCCGCGGUAUCCUGACCGUGCAAAGGUAGCAUAAUCAUUUGUUCCUUAAUUAGGGACUAGUAUGAACGGCUAGACGAGGGAUCAACUGUCUCUUAUUUUUAAUCAGUGAAAUUGACCUUCCAGUGAAGAGGCUGGAAUACAAUAAUAAGACGAGAAGACCCUAUGGAGCUUAAAUUAACAAGCUUAAUUAUUAUAUCAAUACCCUAAUGGCACAAAACAAAAAAUAUAAGCUUAAAAUUUUGGUUGGGGUGACCUCGGAGAAUAAAAGAUCCUCCGACAGAUAUAUGACAUAGACCUACAAGUCAAAGUAACCCAAUUAUCCAAUUGACCCAAAAAUUGAUCAACGGACCAAGUUACCCUAGGGAUAACAGCGCAAUCCUAUUUAAGAGUCCAUAUCGACAAUAGGGUUUACGACCUCGAUGUUGGAUCAGGACAUCCCAAUG
rnacentral:rRNA from 1 species